UACAGGGGGUGCAAACGUUGCUCGGAAUCAUUGGGCGUAAAGCGCACGUAGGCGGUCUGUUAUGUCUGAUGUGAAAGCCCUCGGCUCAACUGAGGAAGUGCAUCCGAAACUGGCAGGCUAGAGUACUAAAGAGGGUCGCGGAAUUCCCGGUGUAGAGGUGAAAUUCGUAGAUAUCGGGAGGAACACCGGUGGCGAAGGCGGCGACCUGGGUAGAUACUGACGCUGAGGUGCGAAAGCGUGGGGAGCGAACAGG
rnacentral:rRNA from 1 species